UUUUUAAUUAAAGGGCUGCAGUAAUUUGACUGUACAAAGGUAGCAUAAUCAUUAGUCUUUUAAUUGAAGACUUGUAUGAAAGAUUUGAUGAGAUAUAAACUGUCUCUUUAUUACAAUUAAAAUUUAAUUUUUUAGUUAAAAAGCUAAAAUAUUUUUAAAAGACGAGAAGACCCUAUAGAGUUUUAUAGUUUUUAUUAUAAAAUAUUUAUAUAAAAUUUUAAUGUUAUAUUAUAAAAAUUAUUUUGUUGGGGAGAUAAAAAAAUUAAAUAAACUUUUUUAAAUAUUUUCAUGAAUAAUUGAGUAAUUGAUCCAUAUUUAUUGAUUAAAAGAAAAAAUUACCUUAGGGAUAACAGCGUAAUAUUUUUUUUUAGUACAAAUAAGAAAAAAAGUUUGCGACCUCGAUGUUGGAUUAAGAUAAAAUUUAAAUGUAAAAGUUUAAAAUUUUGAUCUGUUCGAUCAUUAAAAUCUUACAUGAUCUGAGCUCAAAACCGGA
rnacentral:rRNA from 1 species